rnacentral:rRNA from 1 species
AUUGAACGCUGGCGGCGUGCUUAACACAUGCAAGUCAAGGGGGCCCGCAAGGGUAACCGGCGAACGGGUGCGUAACACGUGAGCAAUCUGCCUCGAUGUGGGGGAUAGCCGGCCCAACGGCCGGGUAAUACCGCAUACGCUCUCUGGGUGGCAUCACUUGGAGAGGAAACAUUUUUGGCAUUGAGAGGAGCUCGCGGCCUAUCAGCUAGUUGGUGGGGUAAUGGCCUACCAAGGCUUUGACGGGUAGCUGGUCUGAGAGGAUGGCCAGCCACAUUGGGACUGAGAUACGGCCCAGACUCCUACGGGAGGCAGCAGUGGGGAAUAUUGCGCAAUGGCCGAAAGGCUGACGCAGCGACGCCGCGUGGGGGAUGAAGCAUUCGGUGUGUAAACCCCUGUUGCCCGGGACGAACAACUGGUUUUGACCAGUCUGACGGUACCGGGUGAGGAAGCACCGGCUAACUACGUGCCAGCAGCCGCGGUAAU